rnacentral:lncRNA from 1 species
GUCCGCUUCCUGGUGCAACUCGAGUUCCAGGACAAGCGCUCCGUAGUUUCUAUGCUCCAGGUUCUCUACCUGGUGAAACUUGACUUCCACGACAAGCGCUGUGUAGUUUCUGCGCUCAAGGUCCGCUACCUGAUGAAACUCCACUUCCACGACAAGCGCUCCGUCGUUUUGGCUGUCCAAGUCCUUUGCCUUGAGGGUUUCGACCUCCAGGACUAGCGCUUCGUAGUUACUGCACUCGAGGUCCGCUACUUGAUGAAACUCGACUUCACGGACUAGCGGACUAACAUUUAUCACCCAUUAAACAAUCUUCAAGCAUCGAGAGCGUGAGGUAUCUGGUAAGUCUCGUAUCAUCUGGUAAAACACUGACAACGAGUAAGCGA